UGGGGAAUUUUGGACAAUGGGGGAAACCCUGAUCCAGCCAUCCCGCGUGUGCGAUGAAGGCCUUCGGGUUGUAAAGCACUUUUGGCAGGAAAGAAACGUCAUGGGUUAAUACCCCGUGAAACUGACGGUACCUGCAGAAUAAGCACCGGCUAACUACGUGCCAGCAGCCGCGGUAAUACGUAGGGUGCAAGCGUUAAUCGGAAUUACUGGGCGUAAAGCGUGCGCAGGCGGUUCGGAAAGAAAGAUGUGAAAUCCCAGAGCUCAACUUUGGAACUGCAUUUUUAACUACCGGGCUAGAGUGUGUGAGAGGGAGGUGGAAUUCCGCGUGUAGCAGUGAAAUGCGUGGAUAUGCGGAGGAACACCGAUGGCGAAGGCAGCCUCCUGGGAUAACACUGACGCUCAUGCACGAAAGCGUGGGGAGCAAACAGG
rnacentral:rRNA from 1 species